rnacentral:rRNA from 1 species
AGAAUCAACGCUGGCGGCGUGCCUAACACAUGCAAGUCGCACGAGAAAGGGGAGCAAUCCCUGAGUAAAGUGGCGCACGGGUGAGUAACACGUGAAUAAUCUACCUCCGAGUGGGGAAUAACUGAGAGAAAUCUUAGCUAAUACCGCAUAACACUUACGAGUCAAAGCAGCAAUGCGCUUGGAGAGGAGUUCGCGGCAGAUUAGUUAGUUGGCGGGGUAAUGGCCCACCAAGACGAUGAUCUGUAUCCGGCCUGAGAGGGCGCACGGACACACUGGAACUGAAACACGGUCCAGACUCCUACGGGAGGCAGCAGUGGGGAAUUUUGCGCAAUGGGGGAACCCUGACGCAGCAACGCCGCGUGGAGGAUGAAAUCCCUUGGGAUGUAAACUCCUUUCGAUCGGGAAGAUAAUGACGGUACCGAGAGAAGAAGCCCCGGCUAACUUCGUGCCAGCAGCCGC